GGUUAAGCGACUAAGCGUACACGGUGGAUGCCCUGGCAGUCAGAGGCGAUGAAGGACGUGCUAAUCUGCGAUAAGCGUCGGUGAGGUGAUAUGAACCGUUAUAACCGGCGAUUUCCGAAUGGGGAAACCCAGUGUGUUUCGACACACUAUCAUUAACUGAAUCCAUAGGUUAAUGAGGCGAACCGGGGGAACUGAAACAUCUAAGUACCCCGAGGAAAAGAAAUCAACCGAGAUUCCCCCAGUAGCGGCGAGCGAACGGGGAGGAGCCCAGAGCCUGAAUCAGUGUGUGUGUUAGUGGAAGCGUCUGGAAAGGCGUGCGAUACAGGGUGACAGCCCCGUACACAAAAAUGCACAUAUUGUGAGCUCGAUGAGUAGGGCGGGACACGUGGUAUCCUGUCUGAAUAUGGGGGGACCAUCCUCCAAGGCUAAAUACUCCUGACUGACCGAUAGUGAACCAGUACCGUGAGGGAAAGGCGAAAAGAACCCCGGCGAGGGGAGUGAAAAAGAACCUGAAACCGUGUACGUACAAGCAGUGGGAGCCUCUUUAUGGGGUGACUGCGUACCUUUUGUAUAAUGGGUCAGCGACUUAUAUUCUGUAGCAAGGUUAACCGAAUAGGGGAGCCGAAGGGAAACCGAGUCUUAACUGGGCGUUAAGUUGCAGGGUAUAGACCCGAAACCCGGUGAUCUAGCCAUGGGCAGGUUGAAGGUUGGGUAACACUAACUGGAGGACCGAACCGACUAAUGUUGAAAAAUUAGCGGAUGACUUGUGGCUGGGGGUGAAAGGCCAAUCAAACCGGGAGAUAGCUGGUUCUCCCCGAAAGCUAUUUAGGUAGCGCCUCGUGAAUUCAUCUCCGGGGGUAGAGCACUGUUUCGGCAAGGGGGUCAUCCCGACUUACCAACCCGAUGCAAACUGCGAAUACCGGAGAAUGUUAUCACGGGAGACACACGGCGGGUGCUAACGUCCGUCGUGAAGAGGGAAACAACCCAGACCGCCAGCUAAGGUCCCAAAGUCAUGGUUAAGUGGGAAACGAUGUGGGAAGGCCCAGACAGCCAGGAUGUUGGCUUAGAAGCAGCCAUCAUUUAAAGAAAGCGUAAUAGCUCACUGGUCGAGUCGGCCUGCGCGGAAGAUGUAACGGGGCUAAACCAUGCACCGAAGCUGCGGCAGCGACACUAUGUGUUGUUGGGUAGGGGAGCGUUCUGUAAGCCUGUGAAGGUGGCCUGUGAGGGUUGCUGGAGGUAUCAGAAGUGCGAAUGCUGACAUAAGUAACGAUAAAGCGGGUGAAAAGCCCGCUCGCCGGAAGACCAAGGGUUCCUGUCCAACGUUAAUCGGGGCAGGGUGAGUCGACCCCUAAGGCGAGGCCGAAAGGCGUAGUCGAUGGGAAACAGGUUAAUAUUCCUGUACUUGGUGUUACUGCGAAGGGGGGACGGAGAAGGCUAUGUUGGCCGGGCGACGGUUGUCCCGGUUUAAGCGUGUAGGCUGGUUUUCCAGGCAAAUCCGGAAAACCAAGGCUGAGGCGUGAUGACGAGGCACUACGGUGCUGAAGCGACAAAUGCCCUGCUUCCAGGAAAAGCCUCUAAGCAUCAGGUAACAUCAAAUCGUACCCCAAACCGACACAGGUGGUCAGGUAGAGAAUACCAAGGCGCUUGAGAGAACUCGGGUGAAGGAACUAGGCAAAAUGGUGCCGUAACUUCGGGAGAAGGCACGCUGAUAUGUAGGUGAAGCGACUUGCUCGUGGAGCUGAAAUCAGUCGAAGAUACCAGCUGGCUGCAACUGUUUAUUAAAAACACAGCACUGUGCAAACACGAAAGUGGACGUAUACGGUGUGACGCCUGCCCGGUGCCGGAAGGUUAAUUGAUGGGGUUAGCGGUAACGCGAAGCUCUUGAUCGAAGCCCCGGUAAACGGCGGCCGUAACUAUAACGGUCCUAAGGUAGCGAAAUUCCUUGUCGGGUAAGUUCCGACCUGCACGAAUGGCGUAAUGAUGGCCAGGCUGUCUCCACCCGAGACUCAGUGAAAUUGAACUCGCUGUGAAGAUGCAGUGUACCCGCGGCAAGACGGAAAGACCCCGUGAACCUUUACUAUAGCUUGACACUGAACAUUGAGCCUUGAUGUGUAGGAUAGGUGGGAGGCUUUGAAGUGUGGACGCCAGUCUGCAUGGAGCCGACCUUGAAAUACCACCCUUUAAUGUUUGAUGUUCUAACGUUGGCCCGUAAUCCGGGUUGCGGACAGUGUCUGGUGGGUAGUUUGACUGGGGCGGUCUCCUCCUAAAGAGUAACGGAGGAGCACGAAGGUUGGCUAAUCCUGGUCGGACAUCAGGAGGUUAGUGCAAUGGCAUAAGCCAGCUUGACUGCGAGCGUGACGGCGCGAGCAGGUGCGAAAGCAGGUCAUAGUGAUCCGGUGGUUCUGAAUGGAAGGGCCAUCGCUCAACGGAUAAAAGGUACUCCGGGGAUAACAGGCUGAUACCGCCCAAGAGUUCAUAUCGACGGCGGUGUUUGGCACCUCGAUGUCGGCUCAUCACAUCCUGGGGCUGAAGUAGGUCCCAAGGGUAUGGCUGUUCGCCAUUUAAAGUGGUACGCGAGCUGGGUUUAGAACGUCGUGAGACAGUUCGGUCCCUAUCUGCCGUGGGCGCUGGAGAACUGAGGGGGGCUGCUCCUAGUACGAGAGGACCGGAGUGGACGCAUCACUGGUGUUCGGGUUGUCAUGCCAAUGGCACUGCCCGGUAGCUAAAUGCGGAAGAGAUAAGUGCUGAAAGCAUCUAAGCACGAAACUUGCCCCGAGAUGAGUUCUCCCUGAGACUUAGAGUCUCCUGAAGGAACGUUGAAGACGACGACGUUGAUAGGCCGGGUGUGUAAGCGCAGCGAUGCGUUGAGCUAACCGGUACUAAUGAACCGUGAGGCUUAACCUU
rnacentral:rRNA from 2 species